AUUGGCACGCACACAGUUGAUGUUCAACCAUAUCAGGUGUGGUCCAGUGAAAGUCAAACAAUAUAUUGUGCCAAUGUGUUUGUGAGAGCGUAGCAGUCCCACUGCUGAGAUGGAGAGCAAAAAAUAAUAUGUAAAACAUUUGACGUAGUGUUACACCUUGUCAGAUAGUAAGCUUACAUUUUUUUAAAUUUCAUGCAGUUGAGUUUCAGAAAUGUGAACAAUGAGCAACAAUUAAACGACAAUCUGUUACAUAUUUACUACAAGUGGUGAUGUUGCGUCAAUGUUAGAUGUAUUUGAAUGUCGAGAAAAAUACAGAGUGAAAUAAUAAGUGAACUAUAACACAAAUAAUCACAAUAUGGCUUAAAUCAUGUUUACAGUUACAACUACAUGGUAAAGUGUUUUCGAUUAUGCGGGAUGUUUUUCAUAGGGUUCUCAUUCCUGCCACCAGAUGCGGAGGGAUCGUUAGCUUCCAUUGGCUUUCAAGGGCAAAACAAAACAUACUGUUACCCAUCUUUGUUCCGGUAGCGCAACUACCGAACUGAUGAUGUUUACCUUUUUUUUACAUAUCUAUCAACAUAAUCUGUUGGGGGAAUUAUUUUAUUUUUCCUACUUACAACCCACAUCCGACAAUUUUUUUAAGUGGGAAUGGUAGAACUUUCAAUUCCCUCGGUCGCACGUACAUUAGUUUUGCAUUUUGUUCCACCAUUUCCGUUAAAAAUGAGAUCCGGCUUGUGCAAGUGAGAAGUUGAGGUUAGAAUUGUAGGAUAUUCUAGGUUAGAUUUGCUAUCCACUUCGCCUGAACGAUUUUCAGACCCAGAAAUAUCGUACUUGUAAUUAGUUUUCACUGCCGUAAAAAAUACUGUUAUGCUCAGAAUAAAUAGUUAUACCUUCGGAUCACACUCAUUUACUCGUAAAUCUCAAUCUGACUGUAAAAAUAAUGAAUUUCUUUCCAAUGUUUUGAAACCCCGAACGAAUUUGACAUUGCUUUCGGGAAGCAUCAUCACGACGACGACAACACUCCCAAGCGGUCGAAUCGUCGUUUUGGGGGCGAAUUGGA